AUUGAACGCUGGCGGCAGGCCUAACACAUGCAAGUCGAGCGGCAGCGGAAAGUAGCUUGCUACUUUGCCGGCGAGCGGCGGACGGGUGAGUAAUGUCUGGGAAACUGCCUGAUGGAGGGGGAUAACUACUGGAAACGGUAGCUAAUACCGCAUAACGUCGCAAGACCAAAGAGGGGGACCUUCGGGCCUCUUGCCAUCAUAUGUGCCCAGAUGGGAUUAGCUAGUAGGUGGGGUAACGGCUCACCUAGGCGACGAUCCCUAGCUGGUCUGAGAGGAUGACCAGCCACACUGGAACUGAGACACGGUCCAGACUCCUACGGGAGGCAGCAGUGGGGAAUAUUGCACAAUGGGCGCAAGCCUGAUGCAGCCAUGCCGCGUGUACGAAGAAGGCCUUCGGGUUGUAAAGUACUUUCAGCGGGGAGGAAGGUGUUGAGGUUAAUAACCUCAGCAAUUGACGUUACCCGCAGAAGAAGCACCGGCUAACUCCGUGCCAGCCGCCGCAGUAA
rnacentral:rRNA from 1 species